rnacentral:lncRNA from 1 species
CUAAACAUUAAAUUUUCAAAAGGAAAACAACGGAUUUUGGGCUCGAAAUUGACGCCCACCGAGCAUAGCUAGGUGACCACGACGUUCGCGCCGAAGAGAGCUUUUCGGAUUAGGGUCAUAAUAUCGAUUAUGAUAACCGUAGCCAAAGUUAUUGUCAAAUUAUCAAAGACGUAUCAAAAUUACCCCAAUUAAGGAAAGAUUGCAUUUAUUUUCUAUUUUUGCGCCUAUCCGUCAUCUCAUGGUAUCUCAGCGUUAUCAACGAGCUAUCU